GCGGGCCGUGAGAGCGGGAGCCCGGAGAUGGGCACUGAGACAAGGGCCCAGGCCCUACGGGGCGCAGCAGUCGCGAAAACUUUGCAAUAAGCGAAAGCUUGACAGGGCUAUCCCGAGUGCCAUCCGCUGAGGAAGGCUUUUACCCAGUCUAGAACGCUGGGGGAAUAAGGAGAGGGCAAGUCUGGUGUCAGCCGCCGCGGUAAUACCAGCUCUCCGAGUGGUGUGGAUGUUUAUUGGGCCUAAAGCAUCCGUAGCUGGCUAGGUCAGUCCCUUGUUAAAUCCACCGAAUUAAUCGUUGGAUUGCGGGGGAUACUGCUUGGCUAGGGGACGAGAGAGGCAGACGGUAUUUUCGGGGUAGGGGUGAAAUCCUAU
rnacentral:rRNA from 1 species